rnacentral:lncRNA from 1 species
UUUCUGAACUCAAGUAUUGAGAAACAGAAACCAAGAUUUGAUUCUGGAAUCAGGGAGAGAAAACAUCUCUCCUCUCACCCAACAGCAAUUUCCCUGAAAACACAAUCUCAGAUCUGCUGACUGGGAGGUGAGAACAAAGGGUUCCUGAGCAGAAGGGAAAAUGAGCUUAAACAUGAGGCUUGGAGGAGAAAGAAGGGCUGGGGAGAAAUAUGAAUGUCUAUUAGAAUCAUCCAGAGCAUGGAUUGGACUGAUGCUGAAGCUCCAGUACUUUGGCCACCUGAUGAGAAGAGCUGACUCCCUGGAAGAGACCCUGAUGCUUUGAAAGAUUGAGGGCAAGAGGAAAAGGGGGUGACAGAGGAUGAGAUAGUUGGAUGGCAUCACAGACUCAAUGGACAUGAGUUUAAGCAAACUCCGGGAGAUAGUCAAGGACAGGGGAGCCUGAUGUGCUGCAGCCCAUGGGGUCACAAAGAGUUGGACAUGACUGAGUGACUGAACAACAACAACAACGCACACAGAUUGGGAAAGUCCCAAAUUUCAAUCAUCUCUAUGGAAUGGCCUUGAAACAGCAAUGCUCAUGACUACUUAUGAAAUAUCUUCUGUGACAGACAGAUAAUAGACACUCCACCCAUCCUGUCUUAUAAAAAGUAUCUUAUUAUAAAAUGACAAACAUAUAGAAAACAAGAAUAUUAUAAAACCAUGGG